GGGGCUAUAGCUCAGCUGGGAGAGCGCCUGCUUUGCACGCAGGAGGUCUGCGGUUCGAUCGCAUAGCUCCACCA
rnacentral:tRNA from 2 species